rnacentral:rRNA from 1 species
UACGGAGGAUCCGAGCGUUAUCCGGAUUUAUUGGGUUUAAAGGGUGCGUAGGUGGCCUGUUAAGUCAGGGGUGAAAGACGGUAGCUCAACUAUCGCAGUGCCUUUGAUACUGACGGGCUUGAAUGGACUAGAGGCAGGCGGAAUGUGACAAGUAGCGGUGAAAUGCAUAGAUAUGUCACAGAACACCGAUUGCGAAGGCAGCCUGCUAUGGUUUGAUUGACACUGAGGCACGAAAGCGUGGGGAUCAAACAGG